rnacentral:rRNA from 1 species
CGGGAAUAUUGGGCAAUGGGCGAGAGCCUGACCCAGCCAUGCCGCGUGCAGGAAGAAGGCUUUCUGAGUCGUAAACUGCUUUUGACAGGGAAGAAUAAGCUGGACGUGUCCAGUGAUGACGGUACCUGCAGAAUAAGCACCGGCUAACUCCGUGCCAGCAGCCGCGGUAAUACGGAGGGUGCGAGCGUUGUCCGGAUUUAUUGGGUUUAAAGGGUGCGUAGGCGGCCGUUUAAGUCUGGGGUGAAAGCCCGCUGCUCAACAGCGGAACUGCCCUGGAUACUGGAUGGCUUGAGUACAGACGAGGUUGGCGGAAUGGACAGAGUAGCGGUGAAAUGCAUAGAUACUGUCCAGAACCCCGAUUGCGAAGGCAGCUGACUAGGCUGUUACUGACGCUGAGGCACGAAAGCGUGGGGAGCGAAC